GACGAACGCUGGCGGCGUGCUUAACACAUGCAAGUCGAACGGUAAGGCCCUUCGGGGUACACGAGUGGCGAACGGGUGAGUAACACGUGGGUGAUCUGCCCUGCACUUCGGGAUAAGCCUGGGAAACUGGGUCUAAUACCGGAUAGGACUCCUGCCUGCAUGGGAGGGGGUGGAAAGCUUUUGCGGGGUGGGAUGGGCCCGCGGCCUAUCAGCUUGGUGGUGGGGUGAUGGCCUACCAAGGCGACGACGGGUAGCCGGCCUGAGAGGGUGACCGGCCACACUGGGACUGAGAUACGGCCCAGACUCCUACGGGAGGCAGCAGUGGGGAAUAUUGCACAAUGGGCGCAAGCCUGAUGCAGCGACGCCGCGUGAGGGAUGACGGCCUUCGGGUUGUAAACCUCUUUCAGCACAGACGAAGCGCAAGUGACGGUAUGUGCAGAAGAAGGACCGGCCAACUACGUGCCAGCCGCCGCCGUAA
rnacentral:rRNA from 1 species